GUGCCAGUUCCGCUCGCUUUUGCAAGACGACAACUACGGAAAUAUAAUCUGUCUCAAUAACACUACAGUUUGCUCUAUACCGAGCAAAGAGAAGCUGAAAGUCGUGGAUAUUUGUUAACUUACAGCAAAAUGUGCAUCGAUAUAGCGAUAUCGAUUUAAGGCGUGCGGCAGUUCAAUACGGAAGAACAUGGAGUUACCACAAAAAAAAUUAGAAGACUACAAGAAUGUCUUCCCAAAAAAAUCGUAAUAGUGAAGUGAAGAAAUGUAAUAGAUGCAUAGAUUCGCUAGAAAGAACAUUCACUCAAUUACUAUUCCGCAUUAGCUAUAUAUUCAUAAUUAAAUUUAAUAUUAUAUAUACUACUGUGAAAAUAGAAAAUAGAAAACGGGGAUUGCAUCAAUAGACAGAACGUAAAAACAACAUGAAUCUAAUUUUCUGGAAAAGAAAUAAAAAACAUCAAGUAUAUAAAGU